rnacentral:rRNA from 1 species
UACGAAGAGGGCUAGCGUUGCUCGGAAUCACUGGGCGUAAAGGGUGCGUAGGCGGGUCUUUUAAGUCAGGGGUGAAAUCCUGGAGCUCAACUCCAGAACUGCCUUUGAUACUGAAGAUCUUGAGUUCGGGAGAGGUGAGUGGAACUGCGAGUGUAGAGGUGAAAUUCGUAGAUAUUCGGAAGAACACCAGUGGCGAAGGCGACUUACUGGACACAUAUUGACGCUGAGGUGCGAAAGCGUGGGGAGCAAACAGG